rnacentral:rRNA from 1 species
ACAAUGGAGAGUUUGAUCCUGGCUCAGGAUGAACGCUAGCGGCAGGCCUAACACAUGCAAGUCGAGGGGCAGCGGGAAUUGAGCUUGCUCAAUUUGCCGGCGACCGGCGCACGGGUGCGUAACGCGUAUGUAACCUACCCUGAACUGGGGAAUAACACUGAGAAAUCGGUACUAAUACCCC